AGAUAAUUAAACAAUAAGCACAAAAUAUGAUAGACAACUCAACUUGAAUAAAUAAGUGGAUUAAUUAGAGAAAUCAAUUAAUAAGCAUAAAAAGUUCAAUUAUAGCCUUAAUUAAAAAGUUAGUUCAUACUGAAAAUUAAAACCAAAAAUCCCAUUAAAAACAUCAUAAAAAAAAAUUACAAAUAGAGAAGAAGAAUAAAAACUUAAUAAUUAACCUCCAGUCUUCAAUC
rnacentral:lncRNA from 1 species